CCUGCCCCUAGAAACAUUGGAGGUGUGGCUGUUGUAUCACAAAUACAUCAGUGGCUGGCAGAGAGGAGAGAGUAUUUGUCUACAUACAAUGAUCUGACCUAUGAACAUCUGAAUAAUUAGAAGUCUAACAUU
ensembl:snoRNA Gm24079 predicted gene, 24079